AUCAACGCUGGCGGCGUGCCUAACACAUGCAAGUCGAACGCGAAAGUCCCGCAAGGGAUCAGUAGAGUGGCAAACGGGUGAGUAACGCGUGGGUGACCUGCCUUCGAGCGGGGGAUAACGUUCCGAAAGGGACGCUAAUACCGCAUAACAUCCUGCCUUUGAAGAGGUGGAGAUCAAAGCUGGGGAUCGCAAGACCUAGCACUUGAAGAGGGGCCCGCGUCCGAUUAGCUAGUUGGNGAGGUAACGGCUCACCAAGGCAACGAUCGGUAGCCGGCCUGAGAGGGCGGACGGCCACACUGGGACUGAGACACGGCCCAGACUCCUACGGGAGGCAGCAGUGGGGAAUCUUGCGC
rnacentral:rRNA from 1 species